rnacentral:pre_miRNA from 16 species
CCCUUCUACUACUAUUCGAAUGGUCUGAGAACAUCUGAGGUAGUAUUUAAUGUUGUUGACGGCUCGGAUUGCAAAAGUCCACAACAUUUCUAGUACCUCAAAUGUUCAAGACGGCC